rnacentral:lncRNA from 1 species
CUCAAUCAAAUUGAGUUAAUUAGCAAUCAAAUCACUAAUAAAACCUCUCAUAAAUACUUUGUGCAAAUUCGAUGGGCAAUCGGGCAUCAGAAUUCAUCGAUAUGUAACUCUGAUCGAAAAGUCCCAACCAGUGGGACUCUUGACCCCGAUACCCAUAAUGUGUGAAACUCGUGAUCAGAGAAUCUUGAUUCUCGAUCACUGAGUCCCAAAUAUGUAGGAUCCUACACCAACCAUCA